UCUUCUGCUCGCGUUGUCGUCUUUUUCGCCGCCGUCUUCUCCGCGCCUCUCGCCGCCGUCUUCUGUACACCUCUCGCCGCCGUCUCCUGAGGUCCCGUCGGCGUCGUCUUCUCCGGUCGCGGCGCCAUCUCCUCGUCGUUUUCUUCCUCCCACCGAAACGGCCGCCUCACCUCCCGCCUCCAUAAGAAAUCAGAAGCCAGCUCACGGAGGAAGAAGCAAAUCAGAUCUGUUUCAAAGAGGUAAUCGAAGAGUAUUUUUCUUGGCACUUGGUGAGUCUCUAGAGGGAGAUCGUAAUCCUAAUUCCUAAAUCCACAUAUAUCUUCAACGGCUUAGCUCGGAGCAGAAGAACAUCGCUUCAAUUCUAUCAGGUACCCUUGCUAGUUAACAACCGAGUUAUACUCUGUCAUAAUAUUCUAUAAAUUUUCAUUCUUCAAUAUUUUACAAUAUCUUUUCUGUUUAUAAUAUUUAGAUUGUAUUAAUCUAUCUAUUCAAUUAAUUUCUACUACAUAAC